rnacentral:rRNA from 1 species
UGGGGAAUAUUGCACAAUGGGCGCAAGCCUGAUGCAGCCAUGCCGCGUGUAUGAAGAAGGCCUUCGGGUUGUAAAGUACUUUCAGUCGGGAGGAAGGUGGUAAGGUUAAUAACCUUAUCAAUUGACGUUACCGACAGAAGAAGCACCGGCUAACUCCGUGCCAGCAGCCGCGGUAAUACGGAGGGUGCAAGCGUUAAUCGGAAUUACUGGGCGUAAAGCGCACGCAGGCGGUUGAUUGAGUCAGAUGUGAAAUCCCCGGGCUUAACCCGGGAAUUGCAUCUGAUACUGGCAAGCUUGAGUCUCGUAGAGGGGGGUAGAAUUCCAGGUGUAGCGGUGAAAUGCGUAGAGAUCUGGAGGAAUACUGGUGGCGAAGGCGGCCCCCUGGACGAAGACUGACGCUCAGGUGCGAAAGCGUGGGGAGCAAACAGG